rfam:Cyanothece sp. PCC 7424, complete genome.
UUGCUGGAAGGGGGUUUUGCCGUUGUGACCCUUUGUUAUUUGCCGAAGGAGAGCGACGACAAGCAAAUAGAUAGUAA